rnacentral:rRNA from 1 species
AAAAUAACAAUGAUACCUUAGUAGCGGCGAGCGAAGUGGGUAAAGCUCAAGUUUAAAACCUGUUUGUCCUAGACAAACCGGAUUGUAAACUAAGGACGUGCUAUCCAGGCUCUUUGGACCUUCAAGUCCUUUGGAAUAAGGCUUCACAGAGGGUGACAAUCCCGUAGAGGGUCUUGAAAGAGUCUAUUGCGAUGCAUGCUCCAAGAGUCAGGUUGUUUGGGAAUGCAGCCUAAAGUGGGAGGUAAAUCCCUCCUAAAGCUAAAUAUUGGCGAGAGACCGAUAGCAAACAAGUACCGUGAGGGAAAGUUGAAAAGGACUUUGAAAAGAGAGUCAAAAGUACGUGAAAUUGCUUAAAGGGAAGCGUUUGGAGCUAGUUUGGCUAGUCUGUUAUCAGCCUGAGCUUCGGCUUUGGUGUACUAUCAGGCUAUUUGCCGGCCAACUUUCAGGAUUGGAAGGAAAGCUUAGUGCUUUGGAGUCUAAAGAGACCUUUGCGGAAGCCUCUGGUGGAGCGUUGGUCUGCCUUGGCCCUUCUGAACCUAUAGUUGGCUUAAUGGCUCUUAACGGC